GCCCCGUGACAUUUUGUGUUCUUUAUUUUCCCCCUUGCGCUGUAACGGAGGCGGCUUGCGAAAGCUCGCCCUCAUUUACGGCUAUUAAGACAAGAGGAACAUCGGGAGUGCCCGCUUGCUUCUUCCACRACAUUAACACGCGUGCUACUCAGUGUGGAAUUUAAGAACAAAUUAGACUCCUCGUUUCCAACCUACGAACAGGAAUCUGCAGUGAUUGAUGGGUUGCUUUUAAUGCAUUUGCAGAAGCGAACUGAGCAAAGCAAAACUGUUGUCUCUAGGCUUAAAUUCACUGUACAGAGUUGAUAUUUCUACUGGAAAAUGUUUAGCGCACUCAAAUUUGAAAGGGUUGCUAACAACUGCUCCCAACCUAGCAUUGCUUAAAAUCAGGCUGUGGAUAUCACUUUGAUUCGGAAGUCGUGCAUUCAAAGAGAACAUUAAAAACUGUAAAAAAUUAGCCUGUGUGGUGAUGGCAGAGUCUGUAGCCUCAGAAGCAUUUUAUGCCUCCAUGAACUAGCACUGCCACCAAGAGAAAUUAUUUUAUUCUCUGCAGGUUCCUCCCAUGCUUACCCUCCACACAGAUCAGCGCAUAAGUGCUGAGCCAAAUACAGCAGCUGAGGUGGACUUACAACUCACCUGGCAAACAUAAAUAGGCAAAUAGAGAGGUACCUACUCAUUUUCAGUGCA